GAUGAACGCUGGCGGCGUGCCUAAUACAUGCAAGUCGAGCGAAUGGAUUAAGAGCUUGCUCUUAUGAAGUUAGCGGCGGACGGGUGAGUAACACGUGGGUAACCUGCCCAUAAGACUGGGAUAACUCCGGGAAACCGGGGCUAAUACCGGAUAACAUUUUGAACCGCAUGGUUCGAAAUUGAAAGGCGGCUUCGGCUGUCACUUAUGGAUGGACCCGCGUCGCAUUAGCUAGUUGGUGAGGUAACGGCUCACCAAGGCAACGAUGCGUAGCCGACCUGAGAGGGUGAUCGGUCACACUGUGACUGGGACACGGCCCAGACUCCUACGGGAGGCAGAAGUAGUGAAUCCUCCGCAAUGGACGAAAGUCUGACGGAGCAACGCCGCGUGAGUGAUGAAGGCUUUCGGGUCGUAAAACUCUGUUGUUAGGGAAGAACAAGUGCUAGUUGAAUAAGCUGGCACCUUGACGGUACCUAACCAGAAAGCCACGGCUAACUACGUGCCAGCCGCCGCAGUAA
rnacentral:rRNA from 1 species